rnacentral:tRNA from 1 species
GCCGCUUUGGCCGAGUGGUUAAGGCGAUGGUUUUAAGCACCAUUAACGAAAGUUGCGUGAGUUCGACCCUCACAGGCGGCA